rnacentral:lncRNA from 1 species
CCUCAGUCAUGCUAGUCAGGUUUCAAAUGCUCAAUGCCACAUGUGGCUAGUGCCUACUGGACUGGACAGUGAAGCUGGAGGGCAUUCUUAACACAGCAUAAAGUGCUGGUGGACAGUGCUUCCAUGGAGCAAACUCAGAGCUCAUCGGUGAAGAAUUAACUCAUUGAAAAUCAGGUGUAACUGAUGAGGAAUGGGGAAGGGGCCUCUCUUUCCUUUUUAUUUCUGUCAUGUUGUGUUAAAAUGCCCCUGCAUGUGUUUCAGGAAGGAAAUCUGUUUCCUACAGGUCCUUUGCUUUCUGUCGGGGGCAGCCGCAUGGGUCCACCCUACUGUAGGAGCUGACUGAGGGCAUGCCAGCAGCAGUCGUGGUGAAAAGGACUGUGCUGGUGCUGCGUGACGGCACAUUUCUGCUGACGGCCCUGAACUUUCAGACAGAUGCUCUGUGAAUCAGGCGAGAGGGAAUCUUUAAUUAACGCCUUAAGACUGGGAAUGGAAACAAAGAACAGGAAGGUUGUAAGAUGGAUCUGGCUGUCAAAACAAAAUGAAACAAAAAUCCCAACAUGCUCUGCCCCAGCAAGCAUCACUCUGUCCUACACUGGGCUCUCGCCCGCUCUCAUGCAGAAAUAAGGGCCUGGAACUGGAGACCACAGAGGACAAUUUAAUAUGGAAGAAAGCAAUGAAACAACUUUCCACAGAAAUUCUCUACCCAGAGCACCCUAGUGCCUCAUUCCUGCCUCUAUCAUUAGAGCUGCUUUCAAAUCCCCCAUGAUCUUAAAGUCCCUUGGAAGGGCUUGAAAGCUUCUCAGGUAAUUAUGGCCUUGUGAGAAACAAUCAAGCUGGAAAAAAGGUAUUUCUAAAAGAAUCCCUAAAGUAAACCCCCGCCAUUGUAUCUGUUCUUUAGAGCUAUAAGAGAAAUUCAUGUUACACUUUAGGGAAACCUCUUUGGUAAAAUAGCUUGAAUGUCACAGCCCAAGGCUAGAAUUCUUUCUUUAGGAAAUAAUAUAUUUCAGAAUCAGAAUAUGACUUUGAACACAGCCUGGUAAAUCGUUUUGUACAACAGAGAAAUGUUAGCACCUGAGUUCAAGGACAGCUGAGACUUUAGUGCUUUUUUUGUACAUCCUUCCUUGUUCAGAUUGCUUGCUGCCCUUCUUUCUGAUACACUGUGUUCUAUUCCUCUUCUGAAAACUCAUCUAAAACUUGAUUGUUUAAAGCAAAUAUGUAUUGAACACUUACUAUCUGCAAGGUAUUGUCCUAGUUGCUGCAGAUACAGACAUAACUUUAAAAAGCAAAAUCCCUGUCUUCAUAAUAGAAAAUUUGCUAUUUUAAUUUCUCAAAACCCAAUUGCUCCAUUAAAGGUGCACAUUUACACAAAAAGAAUAUGCACUUGGCUCUGUCUUACUUCUCUGCUCCUUCCAGGUAUGCUGUCCCGUGUGCCCCUGACUGUCCAUUCCCUGCGGUGCAGAGACUGCAGCCUCUUUUGAUUUCUCUCAGUGUCAAAUACAAAGCCCUGCUCACCACAGCUACUCAAAAUCCAGGCAUUCAGAUAUUAUCUAAUCUCCCUAAAUGGCAUUUUUGUGACACACAGAGUGAGUGCUGUUGUCUUGCUAUUUUAUAUGCUUGAAACUUGAGUCGGCGUUCUUAAAUUGAUUGGCCAAGAAAACAAAGUGGUCAAGCUGAGACAAGAUCAUGAAUCUUUGGUUUUCCAUUCAAAUUACAGAGCUAAAGAAAAAAAGAAAUGGAGAUUUUCCUUCCAAGCUUACAAAAACUGCUUUAACUAAGUAUGAUUUUAUAAGAUCCCAAGCCAAUUGAAAUAUUGUCAUUUGUAAUAAUAAAACCUAUAUAUGAUUAGCA